UGAGGAAUAUUGGUCAAUGGUCGCAAGACUGAACCAGCCAUGCCGCGUGCAGGAAGACGGCCCUAUGGAUUGUAAACUGCUUUUAUACAGGAAGAAACCCUCCCACGUGUGGGAGCUUGACGGUACUGUAGGAAUAAGGAUCGGCUAACUCCGUGCCAGCAGCCGCGGUAAUACGGAGGAUCCAAGCGUUAUCCGGAAUCAUUGGGUUUAAAGGGUCCGUAGGCGGUCUUAUAAGUCAGUGGUGAAAGCCCAUCGCUCAACGAUGGAACUGCCAUUGAUACUGUAAGACUUGAAUGCUUAGGAAGUAACUAGAAUAUGUAGUGUAGCGGUGAAAUGCUUAGAUAUUACAUGGAAUACCAAUUGCGAAGGCAGGUUACUACUAAGUGAUUGACGCUGAUGGACGAAAGCGUGGGGAGCGAACAGGAUUAGAUACCCUGGUAGUCCACGCCGUAAACGAUGGAUACUAGCUGUUCGGCGCAAGUUGAGUGGCUAAGCGAAAGUGAUAAGUAUCCCACCUGGGGAGUACGCACGCAAGUGUGAAACUCAAAUGAAUUGACGGGGUCAUAGCUGUUUCCUG
rnacentral:rRNA from 1 species